rnacentral:rRNA from 1 species
UGAGGAAUAUUGGUCAAUGGACGCAAGUCUGAACCAGCCAUGCCGCGUGCAGGAAGACGGCUCUAUGAGUUGUAAACUGCUUUUGUACGAGGGUAAACUCACCUACGUGUAGGUGACUGAAAGUAUCGUACGAAUAAGGAUCGGCUAACUCCGUGCCAGCAGCCGCGGUAAUACGGAGGAUUCAAGCGUUAUCCGGAUUUAUUGGGUUUAAAGGGUGCGUAGGCGGUUUGAUAAGUUAGAGGUGAAAUUUCGGGGCUCAACCCUGAACGUGCCUCUAAUACUGUUGAGCUAGAGAGUAGUUGCGGUAGGCGGAAUGUAUGGUGUAGCGGUGAAAUGCUUAGAGAUCAUACAGAACACCGAUUGCGAAGGCAGCUUACCAAACUAUAUCUGACGUUGAGGCACGAAAGCGUGGGGAGCAAACAGGAUUAGAUACCCUGGUAGUCCACGCAGUAAACGAUGAUAACUCGUUGUCGGCGAUACACAGUCGGUGACUAAGCGAAAGCGAUAAGUUAUCCACCUGGGGAGUACGUUCGCAAGAAUGAAACUCAAAGGAAUUGACGGGGGCCCGCACAAGCGGAGGAACAUGUGGUUUAAUUCGAUGAUACGCGAGGAACCUUACCCGGGCUUGAAAGUUAGCGACGAUUCUUGAAAGAGGAUUUCCCUUCGGGGCGCGAAACUAGGUGCUGCAUGGUUGUCGUCAGCUCGUGCCGCGAGGUGUCGGGUUAAGUCCCAUAACGAGCGCAACCCCUACCGUUAGUUGCCAUCAGGUGAAGCUGGGCACUCUGGCGGGACUGCCGGUGUAAGCCGAGAGGAAGGUGGGGAUGACGUCAAAUCAGCACGGCCCUUACGUCCGGGGCUACACACGUGUUACAAUGGUAGGUACAGAGGGCAGCUACCCAGCGAUGGGAUGCGAAUCUCGAAAGCCUAUCUCAGUUCGGAUUGGAGGCUGAAACCCGCCUCCAUGAAGUUGGAUUCGCUAGUAAUCGCGCAUCAGCCAUGGCGCGGUGAAUACGUUCCC